rnacentral:rRNA from 1 species
UACGUAGGGUGCAAGCGUUAAUCGGAAUUACUGGGCGUAAAGCGUGCGCAGGCGGUUGUGUAAGACAGAUGUGAAAUCCCCGGGCUCAACCUGGGAACUGCAUUUGUGACUGCACAGCUGGAGUGCGGCAGAGGGGGAUGGAAUUCCGCGUGUAGCAGUGAAAUGCGUAGAGAUCGGGAGGAACACCUGUGGCGAAGGCGGCCGACUGGGCCGACCCUGACGCUGAGGCGCGAAAGCUAGGGGAGCAAACGGG